rnacentral:tRNA from 1 species
GGGCGGUUGGCUCAGUGGUUAGAGCACCUGCCUUACAAGCAGGGGGUCAGAGGUUCGAAUCCUCUACCGCCCA